rnacentral:rRNA from 1 species
UCAUAUGCUUGUCUUAAAGAUUAAGCCAUGCAUGUCUAAGUAUAAGCUUUUAUACGGCUAAACUGCGAAUGGCUCAUUAAAACAGUUAUAGUUUAUUUGAUGGUCUUUACUACAUGGAUAACCGUGGUAAUUCUAUGGCUAAUACAUGCGCACAUGCCUCUUCCCCUGGAAGGGCAGUGUUUAUUAGAUACAGAACCAACCCACCUUCCGGUGGUCCUCAGGUGAUUCAUAGUAACCGAACGGAUCGCGUUGACUUCGGUCUGCGACGGAUCAUUCAAGUUUCUGACCUAUCAGCUUUCGACGGUACUGUAUUGGACUACCGUGGCAGUGACGGGUAACGGGGAAUUAGGGUUCGAUUCCGGAGAGGGAGCCUGAGAAACGGCUACCACAUCUAAGGAAGGCAGCAGGCGCGCAAAUUACCCAAUCCUGAUUCAGGGAGGUAGUGACAAGAAAUAACAACACUGGAAAUUUCAUUUCUAGUGAUUGGAAUGAUAGGAAUCCAAACCCCUUUCAGAGUAACAAUUG